rnacentral:rRNA from 1 species
UACGUAGGGUGCGAGCGUUAAUCGGAAUUACUGGGCGUAAAGCGUGCGCAGGCGGUUCGUUGUGUCGGCGGUGAAAGCCCCGGGCUCAACCUGGGAACUGCAUUUGUGACUGCAUGGCUGGAGUGCGGCAGAGGGGGAUGGAAUUCCGCGUGUAGCAGUGAAAUGCGUAGAUAUGCGGAGGAACACCGAUGGCGAAGGCAAUCCCCUGGACCUGCACUGACGCUCAUGCACGAAAGCGUGGGGAGCAAACAGG